UACGGAGGGUGCAAGCGUUGUUCGGAAUUACUGGGCGUAAAGGGCGUGUAGGCGGUGUGGUAAGUCAGAUGUGAAAGCCCUGGGCUCAACCCAGGAAGUGCAUUUGAAACUGCCAUGCUUGAGUAUGGGAGAGGAGAGUGGAAUUCCCAGUGUAGAGGUGAAAUGCGUAGAUAUUGGGAGGAACACCCGUGGCGAAGGCGACUCUCUGGACCAAUACUGACGCUGAGGAGCGAAAGCGUGGGGAGCAAACAGG
rnacentral:rRNA from 1 species